ensembl:lncRNA
AAUGGGUUGCAGCCUGCUGGGCCAGGGAGUAAUGAGAGGGCUAACUUUCUGUUGAGGUGGUGCAGCAGCCCAAAGCCUAAACUGUGAUUCAGUGAGUUACUAGACAGGUAAUAGACCCACAUACGGCCCACAGAGCCACAGCAAGCUUUCGGAUUGAAACAAAGUUUCUAAUGUUUUAACUGAGUUUCCUAAGGUGGACUGUGUUUAUGAACAAUCAAGCAAACCCCAUCUGUGUUGCUGUUGUCCCUGUCUUUCCUCCAUAGGGCCACCUGUUCAAUCCCUGGUCCAGAAGAUCCCACGUGCCACGGAGCAAGUGAGCUUGUGCACCGCAGCUACUGAGCCCGAGUGCCAGAGCCAGCAGGCCGCAGCUGCUGAAACCUGUGGGCCUAAAGCCCGUACUCGGC